rnacentral:lncRNA from 1 species
CGGCAUCCACCGGCCUCGCUCGACUUCCCGACGGCGCCAACCCUCGGUCUGAAGCACACCUGUGCCAGGCAACGCUGAAAAAUUCAGCUCUACUGUGUGACAGAGCGAGAUGAACUCAGGCUGACUAAGUGCUCACUUUCCACCAGCUCUUUUGGACUCAUAACUCAGAGGCCCCAGAAGCUUCCGGAACUGGGCUCAGGCAGCGAUAAACAGGGACAGGAGCAUCUUCAAAAGCUCCGCUUGAAAAUGAAAUACCUGCCAGGGCAGCCGCUUGUCCUAAAGGGACUGAAGUCAGACGCACUGUCUGCGCUGAAAAAAUGCUGGCGGUGGAUUAAACAGCUGAAAACUCAGGCCCACCGAGGGUGAGCACACGACACCGGGAGGCGCACCACUCGGCGCUGUUGGCAGGGAGCUCACGCACGAGCGUCUAG